rnacentral:rRNA from 1 species
AGCAGCCGCGGUAAUUCCAGCUCCAAUAGCGUAUAUUAAAGUUGUUGCAGUUAAAAAGCUCGUAGUUGAACUUCGGGAUUCACCCAUUGGUCAGGCUUAAUUGUCUGUACUGGUGAGAUGAGUCUCUACCUUCUGAGGAACUUUCAUGCCAUUUAUUUGGUGUGGCUGGAAAUCAGGACUGUUACUUUGAAAAAUUAGAGUGUUUAAAGCAGGCUAACGUCUGAAUACAUUAGCAUGGAAUAAUGAAAUAGGACGGAUUGAUUCUAUUUCGUUGGUUUCUAGGGUCACCGUAAUGAUUAAUAGGGAUAGUUGGGGGCAUUAGUAUUCAAUUGUCAGAGGUGAAAUUCUUGGAUUUAUUGAAGUACUAACUACUGCGAAAGCAUUUGCCAAGGAUGUUUUCAUUAAUCAAGAACGAAGUUAGGGGAUCGAAGACGAUCAGAUACCGUCGUAGUCUUAACUAUAAACUAUGCCGACUAGGGAUCGGACGCAGUUAAUUUAUAAUGACGUGUUCGG